GACGAACGCUGGCGGCGUGCUUAACACAUGCAAGUCGAACGGAAAGGCCCUGCUUUUGUGGGGUGCUCGAGUGGCGAACGGGUGAGUAACACGUGAGUAACCUGCCCUUGACUUUGGGAUAACUUCAGGAAACUGGGGCUAAUACCGGAUAGGAGCUCCUGCUGCAUGGUGGGGGUUGGAAAGUUUCGGCGGUUGGGGAUGGACUCGCGGCUUAUCAGCUUGUUGGUGGGGUAGUGGCUUACCAAGGCUUUGACGGGUAGCCGGCCUGAGAGGGUGACCGGCCACAUUGGGACUGAGAUACGGCCCAGACUCCUACGGGAGGCAGCAGUGGGGAAUAUUGCACAAUGGGCGGAAGCCUGAUGCAGCAACGCCGCGUGCGGGAUGACGGUCUUCGGGUUGUAAACCGCUUUCGCCUGUGACGAAGCGUGAGUGACGGUAAUGGGUAAAGAAGCACCGGCUAACUACGUGCCAGCAGCCGCGGUGAUACGUAGGGUGCGAGCGUUGUCCGGAUUUAUUGGGCGUAAAGGGCUCGUAGGUGGUUGAUCGCGUCGGAAGUGUAAUCUUGGGGCUUAACCCUGAGCGUGCUUUCGAUACGGGUUGACUUGGGGAAGGUAGGGGAGAAUGGAAUUCCUGGUGGAGCGGUGGAAUGCGCAGAUAUCAGGAGGAACACCAGUGGCGAAGGCGGUUCUCUGGGCCUUUCCUGACGCUGAGGAGCGAAAGCGUGGGGAGCGAACAGGCUUAGAUACCCUGGUAGUCCACGCUGUAAACGGUGGGUACUAGGUGUGGGGUCCAUUCCACGGGUUCCGUGCCGUAGCUAACGCUUUAAGUACCCCGCCUGGGGAGUACGGCCGCAAGGCUAAAACUCAAAGGAAUUGACGGGGCCCCGCACAAGCGGCGGAGCAUGCGGAUUAAUUCGAUGCAACGCGUAGAACCUUACCUGGGUUUGACAUGGAUCGGGAGUGCUCAGAGAUGGGUGUGCCUCUUUUGGGGUCGGUUCACAGGUGGUGCAUGGCUGUCGUCAGCUCGUGUCGUGAGAUGUUGGGUUAAGUCCCGCAACGAGCGCAACCCUUGUUCACUGUUGCCAGCACGUUAUGGUGGGGACUCAGUGGAGACCGCCGGGGUCAACUCGGAGGAAGGUGGGGAUGACGUCAAGUCAUCAUGCCCCUUAUGUCCAGGGCUUCACGCAUGCUACAAUGGCUGGUACAGAGAGUGGCGAGCCUGUGAGGGUGAGCGAAUCUCGGAAAGCCGGUCUCAGUUCGGAUUGGGGUCUGCAACUCGACCUCAUGAAGUCGGAGUCGCUAGUAAUCGCAGAUCAGCAACGCUGCGGUGAAUACGUUCCCGGG
rnacentral:rRNA from 1 species